UGCAGUCGACGAUGAGCUGGAGCUUGCUCCGGUGGAUUAGUGGCGAACGGGUGAGUAACACGUGAGCAAUCUGCCCUUGACUCUGGGAUAACUGCGGGAAACUGUAGCUAAUACCGGAUACUUUCCUCGGUGGGCAUCCACUGGGGAAGAAAGAAUUUCGGUCAAGGAUGAGCUCGCGACCUAUCAGCUAGUUGGUGAGGUAAUGGCUCACCAAGGCGACGACGGGUAGCCGGCCUGAGAGGGUGACCGGCCACACUGGGACUGAGACACGGCCCAGACUCCUACGGGAGGCAGCAGUGGGGAAUAUUGCACAAUGGGCGCAAGCCUGAUGCAGCAACGCCGCGUGAGGGACGAAGGCCUUCGGGUUGUAAACCUCUUUUAGCAGGGAAGAAGCGAAAGUGACGGUACCUGCAGAAAAAGCACCGGCUAACUACGUGCCAGCAGCCGCGGUAAUACGUAGGGUGCAAGCGUUGUCCGGAAUUAUUGGGCGUAAAGAGCUCGUAGGCGGUUUGUCACGUCUGCUGUGAAAUUUCGAGGCUCAACCUCGAACUUGCAGUGGGUACGGGCAGGCUAGAGUGCGG
rnacentral:rRNA from 1 species